UACGUAGGGUGCAAGCGUUAAUCGGAAUUACUGGGCGUAAAGCGUACGCAGGCGGCUUUGCAAGACAGGUGUGAAAUCCCCGGGCCUAACCUGGGAACUGCAUUUGUGACUGCAUGGCUAGAGUCUGUCAGAGGGGGGUGGAAUUCCACGUGUAGCAGUGAUAUGCGUAGAGAUGUGGAAGAACACCGAUGGCGAAGGCAGCCCCCUGGGAUGAGACUGACGCUCAUGCACGAAAGCGUGGGGAGCAAACAGG
rnacentral:misc_RNA from 1 species